CUACGUGCCAGCAGCCGCGGCAAUACGUAGGGGGCAAGCGUUAUCCGGAUUUACUGGGUGUAAAGGGAGCGCAGGCGGUCUGGCAAGUUGAGAGUGGAAGCAGGGGGCUCAACCCUCUGACUGCUCCCAAAACUGUUAGACUUGAGUAUGGGAGAGGCAGGCGGAAUUCCUAGUGUAGCGGUGAAAUGCUUAGAUAUUAGGAAGAACACCGGUGGCGAAGGCGGCCUGCUGGACCAAAACUGACGCUGAGGCUCGAAAGCGUGGGUAGCAAACAGGAUUAGAUACCCUGGUGGUCCACGCUGUAAACGAUGAAUACUAGGUGCUGGGAGACAUAAGUUUUUCGGUGCCGUCGCAAACGCAUUAAGUAUUCCACCUGGGGAGUACGUUCGCAAGAAUGAAACUCAAAGGAAUUGACGGGGACCCGCACAAGCGGUGGAGCAUGUGGUUUAAUUCGACGCAACGCGAAGAACCUUACCCGGUCUUGAGAUCC
rnacentral:rRNA from 1 species